UACAGAGGGUGCAAGCGUUGUUCGGAAUUACUGGGCGUAAAGCGCGUGUAGGCGGCGGCAUAAGUCGAAUGUGAAAGCCCUUGGCUUAACCAAGGAAGUGCAUUCGAUACUGUGUCGCUUGAGUACCGGAGGGGAUGGCGGAAUUCCUGGUGUAGAGGUGAAAUUCGUAGAUAUCAGGAGGAACACCUGUGGCGAAGGCGGCCAUCUGGACGGUGACUGACGCUGAGGAGCGAAAGCGUGGGGAGCGAACAGG
rnacentral:rRNA from 1 species